rnacentral:rRNA from 1 species
UACGUAGGGGCAAGCGUUAUCCGGAUUUACUGGGUGUAAAGGGAGCGUAGACGGCGAUGCAAGUCAGAUGUGAAAACCCAUGGCUCAACCAUGGGAUUGCAUUUGAAACUGUGUUGCUAGAGUGCAGGAGAGGUAAGCGGAAUUCCUGGUGUAGCGGUGAAAUGCGUAGAUAUCAGGAGGAACACCGGUGGCGAAGGCGGCUUACUAGACUGUAACUGACGUUGAGGCUCGAAGGCGUGGGUAGCAAACAGGAUUAGAUA